GACGAACGCUGGCGGCGUGCUUAACACAUGCAAGUCGAACGGAAAGGCCCUGCUUUUGUGGGGUGCUCGAGUGGCGAACGGGUGAGUAACACGUGAGUAACCUGCCCUUGACUUUGGGAUAACUUCAGGAAACUGGGGCUAAUACCGGAUAGGAGCUCCUGCUGCAUGGUGGGGGUUGGAAAGUUUCGGCGGUUGGGGAUGGACUCGCGGCUUAUCAGCUUGUUGGUGGGGUAGUGGCUUACCAAGGCUUUGACGGGUAGCCGGCCUGAGAGGGUGACCGGCCACCUUGGGACUGCGAUACGGCCCAGACUCCUGCGGGAGGCAGCAGUGGGGAAUAUUGCACAGUGGGCGGAAGCCUGAUGCAGCAACGCCGCGUGCGGGAUGACGGCCUUCGGGUUGUAACCCGCUUUCGCCUGUGACGAAGCGUGAGUGACGGUAAUGGGUAAAGAAGCACCGGCUAACUACGUG
rnacentral:rRNA from 1 species